rnacentral:rRNA from 1 species
UACGUAGGGUGCGAGCGUUGUCCGGAAUUAUUGGGCGUAAAGGGCUCGUAGGCGGUCCGUCACGUCGGGAGUGAAAACUCGGGGCUCAACCCCAAGCUUGCUCUCGAUACGGGCGGACUAGAGGUAGGUAGGGGAGAACGGAAUUCCUGGUGUAGCGGUGGAAUGCGCAGAUAUCAGGAGGAACACCGGUGGCGAAGGCGGUUCUCUGGGCCUUACCUGACGCUGAGGAGCGAAAGCGUGGGGAGCGAACAGG